GGGAGGCCCUGGCUGUUCCAGUUUUGAGAGGAGUGUGUGUUGGCAAACUCUCCUCUCGAUCCUGGCACUACCUGUGCCAUCACC